rnacentral:rRNA from 1 species
GCAAGUCGAACGAGAUCAGGGGCUUCGGUUCCUGGUUUAGUGGCGCACGGGUGCGUAACGCGUAUGCAACCUACCUUCCACUGGGGGAUAGCCCGGAGAAAUCCGGAUUAAUACCGCAUGACAUCGUUUGAGGGCAUCCGAAGACGAUCAAAGCUGAGGCGGUGGAAGAUGGGCAUGCGUGCCAUUAGCUAGUUGGCGGGGUAACGGCCCACCAAGGCUACGAUGGCUAGGGGUUCUGAGAGGAUGGUCCCCCACACUGGUACUGAGACACGGACCAGACUCCUACGGGAGGCAGCAGUAGGGAAUAUUGGGCAAUGGCCGAGAGGCUGACCCAGCCAUGCCGCGUGCAGGAAGAAGGCCUUCUGGGUUGUAAACUGCUUUUAUCUAGGAAGAAAAAGCCCAUGCGUGGGAAACUGACGGUACUAGAUGA